CAACUAUCAGGCUUAUUUGGAACUAAAGGUUUUUUUCAUUUGGGUUUCCCAUAUUUAAGCAGAUUGCUGAGGUGACAGUCAUGUAGUUGAAGGAUCUCCUGUUACAACUGAAAUAAAGUCAAUACUGUUGCAGAUAAAAAUUUUGAAGACAAGUUUCAAGUAGUGUAUAGAACGUUAUCUGCGAAUAAAAGAUGCUGUCGGAAUAGCAUUCAACUGACUAGCGCCACUUAGUGAAAAGAGCUCUUGAACGGAUGGAGCUUAUCUUCACACAACCAAAGGCCACAAAGUACGUAUGUACCAACGCUUUGGACUAACUGGUUAUUGCCUUACGGACAUAUUUUAGAGCUCGUCCCCGAUCAGCUAUGAUCGGGCGUGGGGUUAAUCGGAUGAAAUGGCAGCUGAAAGAGCGCCACUCAAAUAAGGAGGUCCGAAUGCCAUUAGUGGUCCGAUUAUCGAAGGUGAUGGAGUCCAAUGGCAAGUUGUGCGAUCUCGUAACCCAGCCGACCCGCUUCGAAAACAACCCACCCGAGGAGUAAAAAAUCAACACGAUCAUUGCAGGACCGAGUGGGCAACCUGUAUUUAAAGUUGCGAAAAGGAAUUAAUGCGUUUC